CCUACGGGUGGCACCAGUAGGGAAUCUUCGGCAAUGGACGAAAGUCUGACCGAGCAACGCCGCGUGAGUGAAGAAGGUUUUCGGAUCGUAAAACUCUGUUGUUAGAGAAGAACAAGGACGUUAGUAACUGAACGUCCCCCGACGGUAUCUAACCAGAAAGCCACGGCUAACUACGUGCCAGCAGCCGCGGUAAUACGUAGGUGGCAAGCGUUGUCCGGAUUUAUUGGGCGUAAAGCGAGCGCAGGCGGUUUCUUAAGUCUGAUGUGAAAGCCCCCGGCUCAACCGGGGAGGGUCAUUGGAAACUGGGAGACUUGAGUGCAGAAGAGGAGAGUGGAAUUCCAUGUGUAGCGGUGAAAUGCGUUGAUAUAUGGAGGAACACCAGUGGCGAAGGCGGCUCUCUGGUCUGUAACUGACGCUGAGGCUCGAAAGCGUGGGGAGCAAACAGGAUUAGAUACCCUCGUAGUC
rnacentral:rRNA from 1 species